GCAGAUAUCCAAGUUCAAAUUUCGCCAAAUGGAGAGGAAAUUCGCUUUAUACUCGCUUUGCUUCAAAACACCCUGCCACAAUUGGUAGGAAUGUCGAUAUUGGUGGCCCGCAGCAGCUAUUGUCAUUUACCAAAACAGGGUUCGAGACGAGGGGCGAUCAAAGAAAGUAACGGUCGGAUCAUUUGUUUCACAGGAUGCGGUAGCUUCAGUGCAAUCUGGCAACAAACUACGGAUUUCAGAAAAAAUGAAAAUCAUAACUUAUUAAUUAGAUUUACUUUAAUUUGUAAGGCGAGUAACGGAUCGAUAUCAUCAACUGACCUAAAGAAGAAGACGAUUAGUUUAGUACCAACGACAAUCAAAUGAGUUUGAUCAACACGUGGAUGUUGGACUUACAGUGCUUCCAAAACGUAUCUUCCUUGAUCAGCGUAAAACAUGCUAAUGACUGAACUUAUAACAUAGUCAACUCGCGGUGGCAUAAACGGAAUCAAUUCAUGCCCUAACGCCUCCAAUUUUUCCUUAGCUAUCCUGAUGGCGCGACGGACGCCAGGCGUGCAGGGGAAGUAGUCACAUUCUUCGUAAUAACCUAUUCGCAGCUUACUCGAAACAGGUAUUGGUAGCAGAUCGAGAUCAAAUUGUCUUUGGAUGUAACCAUCCUCAAGCAGUAGUUUGCAGAGUAAAAUCACAGUUUUCGAAUCUCGUGCCAAUAUUCCAGGUACAGAAGGAACUGACCAAAAUUACAUAUUUUUUCAAUAUUGCGAUAUGCAUUUCUAAUGAAAUAACAAUGGAUUACACUUACUUCCAAUACAACCAACGGCAGAUUUCCUGAA